rnacentral:lncRNA from 1 species
UCUUUCCUUCCUCUUGAUUGUCCUAAUCUAGCUCCAUAAGACCCACCUCGCUCUUGAGAGACCCCUUUGGUCUCGUAAGAAAGAUGUGAAUCCAUCAUGAGGGUGGAGUCCCAGGACCUAAUUAUUUCCUGGGGGCCCCCACCUCUCAGCACUGUCACAUAGGGGUCACAUUUCAGCCCAACCAUGAGGACAAAGUCCAUUGAAAGCACAGCGACGCCAUACUCACGUGUGUCGUUAUGACCCGUGAUUUUCCCAAAGAGGCAAAGCUUUUGGCAGUUAGUGUCUGUGGGGAUCUUUCUGUCCCCCAACUUAGUCUGACCAUCAUUUCCCUUGGCCCCACCCACUGUGAGCACAGUCACCCCCUCCCCCCAGAGACCCCAACAGCUCUCCGAGAGGGCAGGAGCACAGGCGCCACCCCCACCGAUGAGGCACGGAGUCCCAGGGGGUACAAGAGGGAACUGUCGGUCCCCGGGUGCCUACGAUCUUUGUCACAUGAUCCGGAGGAGGAGGAGGAGCUGUUUCUCAGACAAGGGGAUGCAGGGCCUGAGAACCCGACCACGCAGGGAAUCAGGUCCUGGCACGGCUGGCUGACUGCUCCUUCUGAACCUGCGUGCGCAGCUCUGGCUGCCUUUGCAGGAGGAAGUCCCCUAAUCCUGGGCCGUGGCCUCCAGCAUCUCCCUGUUUGGGGACAUCAUGCAGCCACUGACAGCCAAAUGCUUUGCCUCUUCGGGAAAACCACGAGGAGUAACAACACAUGGCCAUGUCUGGCUUCAUUCUCCACCCAAGUUAUACCUCCGCCUGGCUGUCAGCACUAACAGGACCACUGAAUUGGAGUCUGCAGGAUUUCAGGGGAGAACCCUGACCAUGCCCAAACUUUCAGAUAAGUGAAAAGUAAUCAGCAGAAUAAAAACUCUCCUCAUUGUCACCCCUUUCCCAUGUAGGACGCUUCAUAUGCUUCAAAGAACGCUCUCAUGUAUGCUGUCAUUGAGUCUUCAUGAUAACCCCAUGGUGUGGGCAGCCAAGGGAUAACACGGUCAGAGAGGCUGGGCCACCUGCCCGAGAUCCCACAGCCUGCAGGAAGGGGACUCUGAAGCUGAGCAUGUCCUCUUCCCUCCUUCCCUUGGGCACAGACCACCUGCUGUACAUGCUUGAGGGUGACACCCUGGGCACCACUGAAGCAGGGCCUAUUCUACCCAAGCAAGUAGUUACUUCCGCUCUUUCUUUUAAAAUAUUCUGACUAUUAACUCACAUUAACUGUACAAGUGAAUGGGUCUCACUGUGACGUUUCCAAAACGCAUAUAUUACACUUUGAUCAUAUCCACCUUCUCUUACCCUUUCUCU